rnacentral:rRNA from 1 species
AGUUUCGAAUCAUUCACAAUGGGCGAAAGCCUGAUGGUGCGACGCCGCGUGGGGGAUGAAGGUUUUCGAAUUGUAAACCCCUGUCGCCGAGGAACAAAAUCUAGGCUUAUACCUUAGUUUGAGUUAACUCGGAAAGGAAGCAGUGGCAAACUCCGUGCCAGCAGCCGCGGUAAUACGGAGACUGCAAGCGUUACUCGGAAUUACUGGGCGUAAAGGGUGCGCAGGCGGUCAGGUGUGUCAGAUGUUAAAAUGCGGGGCUUAACCCCGUAUCGCGUUUGAAACUACUUGACUAGAGUUUUGGAGAGGUAAGUGGAAUUCCUGGUGUAGCGGUGGAAUGCGUAGAUAUCAGGAGGAACACCAAUGGCGAAGGCAGCUUACUGGACAAAUACUGACGCUCAUGCACGAAAGCGUGGGGAGCAAAAAGGAUUAGAUACCCUUGUAGUCCACGCCGUAAACGUUGUACACUCGAUUUCGGGACAUUCGACCGUUUCGGAAUCUCAGCUAACGCGUAAGUGUACCGCCUGAGGACUACGGUCGCAAGACUAAAACUCAAAGGAAUUGACGGGGGCCCGCACAAGCGGUGGAGCAUGUGGCUUAAUUCGAUGCAACGCGAAGAACCUUACCUAGGCUUGACAUACAUUGGACGAUCUGUGAAAGCAGGUCUCUCUUCGGAGUCAAUGAACAGGUGCUGCAUGGCUGUCGUCAGCUCGUGUCGUGAGAUGUUCGGUUAAGUCCGGCAACGAGCGCAACCCUCGCCCUUAAUUGCCAGCAGGUUAAGCUGGGGACUUUAAGGGGACAAACUUUUUAAAGUGGGAAGGUGGGGAUGAUGUCAAGUCAGCAUGGCCCUUACGUCUAGGGCUGCACACGUGCUACAAUGUCCGGUACAAUGAGACGCAAAGCCGCGAGGUGGAGCAAAUCUAUAAAGCCGGGCCAGUUCGGAUUGAAGUCUGCAACUCGACUUCAUGAAGUCGGAAUCACUAGUAAUGGCGCAUCAGCUAUGGCGCCGUGAAUACGUUCUCGGGCCUUGUACACACCGCCCGUCACGUCAUGAAAGUCGGUUUUGCCCGAAGUGUGUGGAGCUAACCUCGCAAGAGGAGGCAGCGCCCUAAGGUGAGGCUGGUGAUUGGGACGAAGUCGUAACAAGGUAACCGUA